rnacentral:rRNA from 1 species
GGUGGUGCAUGGCUGUCGUCAGCUCGUGUCGUGAGAUGUUGGGUUAAGUCCCGCAACGAGCGCAACCCUUGUCCCGUGUUGCCAGCAGGCCCUUGUGGUGCUGGGGACUCACGGGAGACCGCCGGGGUCAACUCGGAGGAAGGUGGGGACGACGUCAAGUCAUCAUGCCCCUUAUGUCUUGGGCUGCACACGUGCUACAAUGGCCGGUACAAUGAGCUGCGAUACCGUGAGGUGGAGCGAAUCUCAAAAAGCCGGUCUCAGUUCGGAUUGGGGUCUGCAACUCGACCCCAUGAAGUCGGAGUCGCUAGUAAUCGCAGAUCAGCAUUGCUGCGGUGAAUACGUUCCCGG